rnacentral:rRNA from 1 species
GACGAACGCUGGCGGCGUGCUUAACACAUGCAAGUCGAACGCUGAAGCCCGGUGCUUGCACUGGGUGGAUGAGUGGCGAACGGGUGAGUAACACGUGAGCAACCUGCCCAUCACUCUGGGAUAAGCGCUGGAAACGGCGUCUAAUACUGGAUACGAGCAACCCAGGCAUCUGGAGUUGUUGGAAAGAUUUAUCGGUGGUGGAUGGGCUCGCGGCCUAUCAGCUGGUUGGUGGGGUAAUGGCCUACCAAGGCGACGACGGGUAGCCGGCCUGAGAGGGUGACCGGCCACACUGGGACUGAGACACGGCCCAGACUCCUACGGAAGGCAGCAGUGGGGAAUAUUGCACAAUGGGCGCAAGCCUGAUGCAGCAACGCCGCGUGAGGGAUGACGGGCCUCGGUUGGUUAACCGUACUUUUACGUUAGGGUAAGGAAGGACGCAAGUAGACGGUACCGUCGCAGAAAAGACACCGGACGUAACUACGUAGCCACGCAGCCGCGGUAACGACG